GAGUAUUGCACAUGGUGGAAACCAAGAACAAAUAAUAAUUGAUAAUCCUAGAGUUGGAAGGUAUUACAUUGUCCUGUUUGGAUACGAGAACUAUGACAAUGUUGGGUUUGAAGCUGAAUUUAGAUAACAUGGAUAAUUUGAUAUUUAAUAUUUUAAUACUAAAUAUAUACAUUAUUAUUUUAUGCUUCUAAA